CAGACUAACCUCAUUUUCUAUUAUUUCUGUAUUGGGAUAAUUAAAACCGGAUUAUACAAAUUAACAAAUCAUGAACUUAUAUUACCCCUCCGCUAAGAAGCAAAUAGGCUACUUUUGGGCCAAUAAGAAAAUAUAAUGGAAGAUGUCAAUAUCAUCUUCUUCCUCUUCUUUUUUGUUGUUAGCAAUACUCGUAGAGGCUGCUGAAAACUCGCCAGUGUUGCCAGUGUGCUUAACAUGAGCACACAUAAAUAGUGUGCUCGCUAGCGACUGUGUAAAAAAUGACAGACAUGAAAUGUAUGGCAGAUUGUACAGUGCCCAGAGAUAGCUGUUACUUUUAAGGACUAAAAUCUUCAUAGAUUUUUUGAUGCACUAGUUAUCUACCGAUGAAGUUUAAUGUAAACUCAUGAUAAAGCUACAGAAACUUUUUUCUGAAAUGCUAAUGUUACAAUGUCAAUGUUUAUGGCCAGCGGGUGAGUGAUAGCGCUGGUUGCGCAGACGCCGUCGAUUAGCUCCGUCCGGUCCAGAUAACUGUAUGCGGAACGCUGAUCCGAAAUAUUCGGACUAGAGCUGACUUACGAAAUAACUGCACAAUGCGAGGACGACAGAAUGCAUGCGGAAUACAACGUGCAGUUGAUAAGUACAACGAUUGCUAUGACAACCAGUCUCGAUCGACCUCGUAGAAGGUAAACGAUUUACAGUAUUUCUAUCCUAGCCCUAUUGCAAAUAAAUGUGGGCAUAUUUACCUACUUAAGUACGCCUGAUUUUGAACAUCUUUAA